AAAAAUCAGGUAAAGUUCUGCUCCACUUCCCCCUUUCUCUUUUCCAUCAUCUCAAUUCUCUGUCUCGCUUGCUGUCAGUCCCAUCCCGUCCCUCUAAAAAAAAUGGCAAAGUGUAAACAUUAUGAGCUUUAAUUGCUGAACCUUUUGGGAUUUAAUAAAUGAUUGUUGUUGUUUGGUGUUUCUUUUGUGUUGAACUAUAAUUCCCAACAUUUUGGGAGGGUUGAUCACUAACCAAUGGUCCUUCAACUAAGCUAAUUGUAGGAAGCCCACAACGUGUUUGACAAAUCGCCUGACAGACGAUUUCAUUCGCCGGUGAAGUCUUAGUAACCGAGCGCUAUAAGGAGUCGAUUGUGAGUAAGUUUUGGGUAUUCAAAUGGGUAGUGGACUGCUUGGUCAGGUCGGUCAAGUUAAAAGCUCAUGACUAUUGUGAUAGUUAGUGUGUUGACGCCGGGGUGUAGCUAGGCUUGCGAUGUUUCGUCGUGGCUUGUUCCCAAGUAGCUUUCUUGUGCUCGCAAGUAAUUGAAUGAAAAGAACCAUGUUGUUUUCUCCAUGUCUAUUGUUAAUAGAUGGAAACAAGUGGUCAAGAGAAUGUGAAAGAAAGCUUGCAGCAAUAGUGAACCUGGACAUAAAAGCAAAACGCUUGCACAAGCUUGGCUUUAGUUACUUUCCUGUAAUAUGCUCUAAUAUUUUAUCAUCACUUUCAGCUACUUCUUGACAUGAAAUGACCUUUAAUUCAUCUAAAAUGGUUCGAAGAGCAGAAAAAAUGCACUAUCUCAAUGACACCAUCUUUUUUCAGGGGGUUCCUCAUAACUUGAGGUUUAUUUUCUUCAGUUGAGUUGAGGACAAUGCAACAUUUUUAGUUGGGGGUGGCAUUUGGGAGUACACUUUAUUUUCAUAUUUAUGCUUCAUUUAUGCCCUUGUCGGGUUUAUGGUUAAUGUAUGGAUAUUGUGUGCCCUUGCCGGGCUUAAAUUAUUGAUGUAGUUGUGGAUUAGUCACUUUUGUUGUUUUGUUUUCUUUACUAGUUUCUUUAGUUUUGUUAGUUAAAUUUUUUUUUAGUUGUAGGAAGGGUGUUUGGAUGUGAUUUUUUGCCCCUUGGCUAAUUUUUGCCUUGCUUGGUAUCAACUUAUUUAAACCUUAGCAUAUGAAUUCUUGAUUUUUGAAAAAGAAAAAUGAUUGAAGGAAGGAUUCGUGUUGUGACUUUUAGAUUCAAUGUUUGGCUCUUUUGUUCACUAAAUGGUCUCUUUAGACUAUAAGUGACUUUGUUUGAAUUCAUUUGUUUUAAUUGGGCUUUGGAUACAUAUUUUAGUUAGGUUUUCAUGUGUCAUGUGUGGUAGAUCUUUAUGAGUUCUUUUGCAUUAUUUGUAGUCUAAAACUUGCCCGGAAUGUGUUUCAAGGCGAAAUCCUAGACUAACUUGGUUUGAAAAAUGAUGUUAAGCCUUCUUUGGAUCGUUUCCCCCCUAAAUUUCCUACCCUUGCAUAUUUUCCCUAGUCAACCCCUUUUGAGCCUUUAACCUUUUCUUUGGCAACCAUGUUACAAGCUUUAACCUUUUGUUCUUUAUUGAUCUAUCUUUUGGCAUCCCACUUCCCUAAGGGCUUUGAAAGUGUAAACAUAGGCUAAAAGCCUAAGUUUGGGGGUAACGGUUGGAAGAGUUGUGAUGUGGAAGUUGCGUAAAAGGUGAAAGGGUAAAAAAAAAAAAAUGAAGUAGAAAGAUGAAAAAGGAAGGAAAAAUAAGGAGUUGUGAAUAAAGGGAAGACUAGUUGGUGAAAUGAAAAAUGAAGAAAAGGGUGAAAAAGUUUGAAAGGAAGUGUGCUUUGAUUGUUACAAAUUGUAAUGCUCAGGGAGAUUUUGAGUCACUUUUACCCAAAUUGUGUCCUACCUUAACCAAAAGCCUACAUUAUAACCCUUAAAGUCCUAAUUGAUUUUGAACCAAGUGUAUCUAUAUUAGUGGAGAAUUACAUGAAGGGCAAGCUUAUGGUACUACUUGUGUGCAUUUUAACAUCUUUGUGAGAGAGAGAGUUAAUUCUUUCCAUUUGAUAUCCCAUUUGUGUUUUAAAUUGUAUUUUGCGAGUUGCGAUUCUCUUUUGAUUGUGAGGGUACAUGAGAAUUUGAGUUGUGAAUUUGUUCUAUUUUCCAAUUGAGAUGAAUGAACAAGAGAAAGUUGUUUUGUGAUAAUGAGGCAAAUUUUGAAGCUUUAGUGUCAUGACUUGAUUACUACUUUGAUUAACUUGGUGUUUGAGCACUUGAAAUGAAAAUGAAGUUUUUGAGAAGAAGUUGGUGAUUCAUAUGUUUUAGAUUAAUAACCAAUCAAAGUAAUGUGCUUUUGCUUAAAGUAGAAUUUUUGACUUGGCAUGAUGCUGGUGCACUUUUGAAUGGAGUCCUUUGAAGGAAAUUGUAUGAUUUGAUUUGCUUGAGGACAAGCAAUAGUUUAAAUUUGGGGGUUUGAUAAGUUGGUAUUUUACCAACUUAUUUCUUCUUUAAGCUUAAACUUUUGCAAUGUUUGAUUGAGAAAAUAGUGCAUUUAAUGUCGUUUACUCCUAUUUUACAGGUUUAUAUGAUUUAGAAGUGAUUGGAAAAGAAACCAAGUCAAAAAGAGGUCAGAUUGAAGAAACGAAAAAAAUGGCUAAAUCUGCAAAAAGGGGGCCAGAUCUGCAAUUCCGAAAAUCAGUGGCUAUUUUGUUCUAAUUGCGGGACUAUAAAAGGAAGAUAAAAGAGAAAAUAUUUUCAUCUUUGGCACAAAACACAAUUCUUGGAGGCUAGGGUUCCUACACCACACUUUGGGGUUGAAGAUUUGAAGAUUUGGUUGAGCACUUUCUUGAACCUUUACUUUAUUUCUUUGAUUCCUUGCUUUGUAAUGAUUAUCUAAGUGUGUAGUAUUUAUUUUCUUCACUUGAAUCUUGUUUAUGAAAAUAUUCUAUGAUUAAAGUGUUGGAUGAAACUCUUGUCUUGCUUAUGUAUUAAAUGAUUUUUAUUGCUAAUAAAGUGAGUUAAUAUU